ensembl:lncRNA
GGAAGAUCCUUUUAGAUAUUAUUUACUCAUUAGACAGACCGAUAAAGAAACUAAAGCCCAGAGCAGGGCAGUAGCUGCUGGAGGGCCCAGAGCCACGUGGUAGGAGAGCUGGGAGAGAGGCCUGGGUACUGAGAGAGCUGCUGUGUUUGGGCUGCUCUACACAUCCCCGUGUUUCUGUAUUCCUCCAUGCUCACGGAGUCUUCCUCAGACUUCAGUCUCCAGAUGUGCCAUAGUUUAAUUUGGGGGUCCUCAAGUCAAAAUUUCAAGAACUGAAGAAUACGGAUCAUGAGACCUGCUGAAUAACAUCGAAGGAACUUCUGAACACGCCACCAUUUAAGCGGAGAGGGUCCCUCCCUUCCGCUGCAAUCAGGCUAUUACAGGCUCGCUCUGCCUCUUACCCGCUGGGCGCAGGCCAAGCCCAGAGCCCGGGGCUCCUACUAUGACUUGGCUGAGCAGCAAGCUAUUCAUCCACACGUCCAAGGCCACUUUUGUGCGAACAGCUUCGCAUCACCUGCCCCUGGAGACUUCGGAUCACCCCUCUGCUCCCCCGCCCUCCCCUGCUCCAGCCCCUCUCUGGCUGUGCAGGAGCCAAAGGGGAUUUGUGAUAACAGAGUCACAGGCACAGGCCCAACCCAGGCCCGAGGAGCUUGACCUGAGGCAAGAGCAUAGCCCAGAACAACACACGCCACUCCCCAGCAAGGAGGGGUGGCCCGGCACUCAAAUCGAAAACUCCUGGGCUUUUGAUGGAAGCCAUAAAACAAAGGUAGUAUUCCAGAAGGAAUCUCAGAUCCUUGUUCAUACUGGAGCCCAAGUGACCAUUAAAACAAGAGGCUGCUUCUCCAUAGGCAGUUCCGAGGAUCAAGGUUUCUGUUAAUUCUGGAUUUGGAAAAACAUACCUGGGAAGGAGGCAGGCACUCCCACUGCAUUACCUCUGAGAAAGACACAAGCCCCAGUGCAUGGUUGUAUAUCCUAGUUGUAAGUUCUGGUUCUUCUAUGUGAGCUGCCGCCACAACAUGGCAACUGUCAGAUGCGUAGUGCAGUUCUGAGACCAGGAAGGGAACCCGGGCCACUGAAGAGGUUAUAAAAAUAACACAGACUCACUGUAUACAACUUGUAAAAUACAGAAGUGUAUAAAGAAGGAAAUAAAACUACCAUUAACCCGUGCUCCAGAGGAACAUCUCCUAUCUACAUUUUCUGUAUUAUCUGUUCUUCAAAUCCAACAAUUUUUCUCUCAUUAUUUUUAAUCACUUUGUCUUUUUCCUCCUCAUUCAUGGCAGUUUUUCAAGUUUCUCAUCUGUACCUCUGGUUGUGACUUUUUGCAAUGCCUCUUCCUCUCUCUAUUGCUUUUAAUGAAAAUUUUAAUUAGCUAUUGCUUUUUUGUUCCCUUAACUCUCUUGCAAAUUUUGCCUCCGCUGGGCCAGCAUCCUGUUCAUUGCUGCCUCUGGCCCGCCAAACUUCACAAUUGAAAGGGCGGCCAGUCAUGUUUGGUGGGGAUCUUAGUCUCCCUGCCGCUUACCUCCUGUAACCACUGCUGUUUCUCAGGAGGCCAAGCUGCAAGGUGGCCUUCGAUGUCUCCUCCCUCUGCUCCUAUCUGCACCAUUGUUGAGCAGGAUGACACCAAACUUUCCACCACGUGGAAGGCACACUGUCUUGUACCUGUCCUCCUUCCCCCCAUUGCUUUUUCUUUUUCACUCUUCUUCAGGUUAUUUCAGAGGGGAUCUGGUGUAGAAGAAGUUAAACAUUAACUCCAAUGCCUUUUUACCCAGGAGUCUGUGAAAGACAUGCUUUAAGCUUUCUCAUAUUGUGUGAGUGUAUAUUGUAUGCUAUAAAUUUAUUUAAAAAAAACCCAAGUCUUUGUAGGCAGGGGGGUAAAGGUAUAAGAGAACAGAAUUUGGAGUUAGGAGACCAAGGCUUGAGCCCCGAUUCAGCCACUUAUGAUCACCACAUGAUCCUGCUCAUCUGCUCUUCAGUUUACUCAUCUGUACAAUGAGCCGAACACCUUGGACUGAAUGAAGCUGGGCCCAUGGUAUGGAAGGUAUCAAUAAAUCCUUGUCGGUGACUUACUUGGAAUGAAUGUCCAGAAAAUGCUCAAGAAUAUCUAAGGAUCCAAAAAGGAGCGACAGAAUAAUUGAAUAUAUAAUUACUGCUUUCUUUGAUAUUUAUGUUUACAAGCUUUCUUUGAACUGGUGGUAUUAUCUGCCUAGAAAGUACCAGAGUUUAUUGACCAUUUUCACAUUUUCUCUCUGACUCCUCCAUCUAACCCUCACUAUCCAUUCCCCCAACACUCAAAAUUUAUUGUAAAAAGGUGUCCUUUGAAAGGCUUUUUAAAAGAAAUGUGAUUAUCUACAGCUCAGUGUCACUUUUAAAGUUGUCCCUUGAUACUUUCUGGAGGCUGCAAAAUAUAUUUAAUUUCCAAACAUUCUUGAAAGUCAUCCAAUAAAUUCAGGCAGGGAGGGAAUGGCCAGGGUACAGGGUGUGCGAGGGACCGCACUGUGAGUUGGCCGGUAUCAUUUAUUAUAAGCAAUCCGGCAGGUGCGUAAAUAACUCCUACCAGGAGGUUUUCCGCUCAGCUUCCCAAAAUGGCUCCAUUUCAACAUCCAGCAGUGACGCUGUAUUCUCAGAAUUGGAUUAGCCAAGGCCUGGGCGAGGUAAAAUCCACUGGAAUGAACCAAAGGAAAGGUUUGCUCCUACAUCAACAGCAUGAGUAUGAAAUAGACUUUUGUUUAUUAAGAAUGGUAGGAUUCAUCAGCUAAUUGAAAAAUCCAAUUCUUUGAAGGGCAGAUGUGCAUUUCAUAUGAUGUGGUUCAGUCCUAGAGAUUCAGGUUUUGAGCACUUAUGAAGUCUAAGACAUCGUGCUGGGUGCCAUGGAGGAUAAAGAGAUAAGCAAGACCUGGCCUUGGCUUUGGGAGUUCACACACUUGUUGGGAGACAGACGUAUCUAUCAUCUCAUCACAGGAGAGAUUGAAAAAUUAGAAACGCAAGCAAAAUGCUGUUGGGUUAGAGAGGAAAACUUGGAGAUGUCUCUUGGUUGAGGAGGCAUUCAAACUAGGCAUUCUUCCAUUCAUUUAUUACUCAGACAAUUGUGGAAUGCCAAACUGGUUUCAUACACUAUACCAUGAACACUCAGAGAGGGCCAAUUGUAGUUGUUUAAUUAUUUACAGAAGAAUAAAGUUCAACAGGCAGAAAAGGGAAGGGAGGGCAUUCCAGGGAGUAGGAAUUGAGUUGAGGCCUUGAGGCUGCAUGGCAUGCCCAAGAAACAGGGAGGACACAGGUGUGGCUCUGACCCAGGAGGUGUGUGUGCGAGUGGGGGAUGGUGGGGGCUGGAGUGAAGGUAAAGAUGGAAGAUAAUGAGAGCAAAACUGCAGAGGGCUCUGAAUAGCCAGGAAAGGAAAAAUAAAUUGUACUUUUAUUUAUUUAGUUAGUUUUUUUUUUAGAUCACAUUUUUAUGAGUCAUUCUAAGUUUACCAAGAUUGCUCCCUUUUAGGUGUAACAGUUGGAAGUGCACUAGCUUGGAAUCAGACUAAACUUUGAAUCUGAGCUGUACCAUUUGCCAGAUGAAUAACUUUGGACAAGUGUCACCUAACCGUUCUGAUGCUCAGUUUUCUCAUCUGCGAAAAUAGGGUUUGUGCAGAUUAAGUUAGAAGAGAUAGGUGAGGGCGCCAAGGACAUUGCCCCCCUUCAGUGGAUACUCGGUAAAUGCUAGCUGCUUCUCCUUCUUUCCCUUCCCUUCCCUCUUCUCUUCUCCGUUUCCCACAGGAGGGCUUUGAUGAAGAAUAUAUUUCAGUAACAUCACUGAGUCCUCAAGCUUGGUUGCUAAUUUUUUUCUCAACUUUAUCCCAGUGGUUCUCAAACCUGAGCAGGUGUCAGAAUCUUCUGGAGGGCUUGGUUAGAAGACAGAGUACUGGGCCCCACCCAGAGUUUCUGAUUCAGGAGGUCUGCUGGGGCCCGAGAAUCUGCAUUUCUAACAAGUUCCCAGAUGCUGCUGAUGUGGGAACCACACUCUGGGGACCGCUGCUUUAUCUUGUUUUGCCCUGGGGCAGACCCUGUUGGUUGCUUACCCAGCAGCCAUCCCCUCUUGGCUGCUGACAGAGCCCUGACUUGUUUUGGUGGCACAGAAAGAUUCUUUGCUUUCAGAGUUAGGUCUCUAUCUCAGUGCCUGAAGAUGAUGACGAUGGGUCUAGACCAGUCAUGGCAACCCCCGUUCCCUUACCCAUUGGUUGGUCUGAAGGUAGGCAAGUGCCCCACAGUGUCUAAAGAGAUGUGAGGGUGAAUCUGCUGACAAAGACUCACAAGGGCAAGGGCUUUGUCCCUUGCCUCUUCUUCCUGAAUGUGUACAUGUUGCUCAAGUUACAGUAGC